ACUGCAAGAUCCUACCAUACUAAGUGGCCUUUUGAUGUGAUUAUCUUAGCAAAGUUUGAACACCGACAUGAAAUAAGGGUUGCAAAGUAAAGAGCUGUAGCAUCUACAUGAACUGCAAAACUCAUGGCAUCUGGACUUUCAUACCUAAGGUCUUAUUCAUCUCUUCAAGUUGAAAAGAUUCUAGACUGCAGAGCCUGAAUUCCCUGCAACAUUAUGCUUCAUCUGGAACAUCAGCCAGCCUACAGAUACAAGCUCCCUUUCCAGCUCUAAGCAAGA